UCAUUCGAGGAUUGAAAUCCACAAAAAUGAAAAACCCAACCCAGCCAUGACUCUCUUUCUACUCUCCCGCCUUCACUUCCGAAAGCCCAAGAAAUGUCUCCACCUCCACACGACGACCUCUCUCAUCUCACUCUUAGGCUCUUAGCUUCUUCCUCUUCUGCCGCUCUCCAAGCCUUGAAUUUCGACUGCGACGGCGUCAUCCUCGAGUCGGAGCACUUGCACCGCCAAGCUUACAACGACGCCCUUCGCUCACUUCAACGUCCGCUGCUCCUCUCAGCCCCUCAAUUGAAAAAUUUGGUAUUUUGUGUUUUGGUAAAAUGAAGUGUUUUGGUACUUUCCGGCGGAAGACGAUGAGGGCCGAGCCAAGAUCAUCGACACUCACUCGGGUUCUAAUUUGUUCUUUAUCAGUUUGUAGCUUCUCUGUGAUUUCAAUUUUGGGCAUAGAUUAUGAAAGUUGUGAACUUUCUAUCUAGUAUGUUAGAUCCUGGGCAUAGAUUAUGUUAGAUCCUGGUCUUGUAGGAUUGGUAAACUGAGAAAUUAAUGGACAUUCAUGCAUGCUUGACUUUGAUUAAUUGAAAACUGAGAAAUUAAGGUUCCAUCUGGAUGGAUUGACUUUAAAAAGCAAUAUGGAUUUGCCGACAAAGCUACAUUUGUUAGAAAAGCUAUACAACAUUAAGUAAAAUGUAUUUGUUGUAAUACUGGAUGCCAUAUAUUUGAAGUAAGAGUCGUUUGAAAUCCACUUGUUUUCUUGUUUUCUUUCAAUGCAAAAGUUAAGAUGUAUGGAAUCAAGCAACUUAACCUUAUAAUGUACCUAAAUCCUUAUGUUUUGGAAUCACUCCAUCCAAGUAGAGCCUUAGGUUCCAAGAGCCUCUCUUUACAUUACUCUGUUAUCGGUUUCUCUUGUCUUCUACCAUUGUUAGUAUCAGCGCUGUUGCAUAAGGGUUCUUGUGAGAGUGACUCUCUCUCUCUUUCUCUCUCACUCACACACAUCAUUGUAGGGGAAAGAGCUUGCUGUUUGCUCUGCUGCAACUAAAAUGAAUUGAAAGCCUUGUAGGACUUGUAAGUUUUUGAACCGAUGUGUUUAUUACAGUUAUUUGGUUUCUAUGUCUUCAGAACAUUUGUUUGUUCAUUUUUUUUAUUUCACCUUCCUUAUUUUGGGAGAGCUUUCAAGGGCUUGAUUGCUUUCUCGCUGGUAUGGUAACUGCUUUUGAAGCGCUAUUUUAAAAAAAAAAUUGUUAAAUCUUGUCAGAGACACAUGUUAUGACACAAUUAUCGACUUCUGCUUGCCAUAAGUACAAGUUAAUUACAAAUUUAUGCAUAGGUGACUAGGAUUGAUUCAGUUCCUCUUAAGUUAUAUUUUGGUGCAUUGUAGCGUAAGAGGUUGAAUGAAACCCCAUUCUCUUCACAUAUAAGUUUACCUGCAAAUUGAAUGGUUCCCUCCAUUUCCUAUGGUCACUGUUCUGGAGUUUUUUUUUUUUUUUUAACCCCAUUCUCUUCACAUAUAAGUUUACCUGCAAAUUGAGUGGUUCCCUCCAUUUCCUAUGGUCACUGUUCUGGAGUUUUUUUUUGGUGUCAGUUGUAUCCAGGCUUCUGGCUGAUCUAUUCAUGUUGAAAGUUCAAAAGAAAGUAAGACAUUUAAAUUCCAGCCCAUGAGUUUUUUCUUAAGACUAUUAUCUUAGAGUAUGAAAAAUGUUUACCCAGUAGGUUUUGGAUUCCUGCUGAUGAAUGGAGUUCCAAUAAGGAAGGAAGAUCCUUAUUGAUGUAGGAUUACCUGUAAUCCUUGUUGAUUAUAGAGAAGGGGAAGGCAUAAUUGCCUACCACCAAUAGGAAUAGGUUUCCUUUCCUAGUGAAGAAAGCUAAUAUCCUUACGGCUAUAUAAGGAGGGGUUCUGCUCUUGGUUUUGCAUAACAGAUACGGAGAGCAAAGUGUAUUCCAUUCUUGGAGUUAGAGAGUGAGAGAGGGCAAAGAAGAGAGAUAGGAAGAGAAGAGAGAGUCUUGUUUUCUUAUUCUUUCUGGUUGUUCAUCAAGUCUGUUUGAGGCUUGGUAUGAUUGUGUAUCCAUUAUAAAUAUAGUAGAAGAUUGUUUUGCUGGACCACCUUAAAUCUGUGUUCUUGUGCCCGUAUCUCUAUGGUUGUUUCUCUUGGUAUGCUGUGCUUAUUUGUGUUUUUCAACUUCACCUAUUGACCGAUUCUCAACGCUUAUAAGAGCUGUAACAAUCCUCCACAGAGAGCAAAUCUUGCAGCUGCUCCUUCUAUUGAGGGAAUGAUGAAUUCUACUGCAAAUCUUGCAGCUUUAAUUAAUGAGUUUGCUGCCUAUCUCAACAAGAAGCAGAUGCAUGGUAGGUGCGAGGAAACAAUUAUGGCUAGGAAUGAAAACCACACUGCACUCUUUGGAAAGUUUGCUGGCUUUGUUGCAGAAACUGAUUGUGUUCCAUGUGAAGAAGUGUCAGGUAGCUAAACUGCUUCUCAAUUCCUCUUAAUGUUAAUGCUAUGCAUAAUUAUUGUAUUAUACACUUAGGAUCUACGGAUCACAUGACAAAACAACUUACAAAUUUGCAUGAUUUAAAAAAAUUGUCCAUUCCUUCUCAAGUGUCUAUAGGCAAAGGUGCCUCAGUUUUGGGAAAAUAAAAAAUAAAUUUAAUCUCAAGUCUUAUUGAGUCAAUUGCUCUUUAUGUUCAUUUCUUUCUCUUCCAACUUUUAUAUGUCGGAAGAAUUAUAAACACCUUAAAAUGCUUUGCUAUUCUUAUGGUUUAACUGAGAAGGAGGGAGGCGUGCCAAUCUAGUGGUUACAUGAGAAUGUUGAGGCUGUUAGACUUUUAAUUUUAGCUGGAUUGGCUCAAGAUGAUGUGUCAAUCUUCUACACGCAGAUUCUAGCAUAUAAGUUCAUAACAGAGAAUCUAAUUCCGAAAAAAAUGUAGUGAAGUAGAGAGAACUAACUAGAGAUUGCUGACCUCUAUACUUUCUGUACUUCGAAAUGACGGGCUUCCCUACUCACCUUUCUAGUGUCUAGUUGCUUUCGCUGGUGCGCCAGCUUUUUUAUAAACUUUUGCUUUAGUUGUCUGUCUCUCUGAAGUGUUUUUGCAAUGAAAGUCUUUCGGGAUCAAAAAAGAAAAAAAAGAGAUUGCUGAGGUCGUUUCUCUCUCCUCAAUAAUACAUUAGUUCAUAUUACAGUAGAUGAGCACGUAAUCCAAUAUGGUCCUCUCCUUUUCCUUCAAUAAUGUAGAGUUGCUUUCUCAUCCAUUAUUGUGCUCCAUUAUUCGAUCUAGAAUUCAAGUUGCCAAAGCUCAAGAGAAACUGAGAAACAGCUCUUCAUCCUUCGAUACUGAAAGAGAGUACUUUCCCUCAUUGUUUUAGUUUCUGUUCUGAUAUCAUUUUCUUUCAAACGAGGCAUACAAGGUUGAACCCGUGGAAUUAAAGAGGGUCUUAUCUGAAGGCGCAUACAUGCUUCUUUAUGCAAGUCUUGUUAGGAAGUAACGCCCUUUCUCAUGCUGGGACAUCCUAUAGAAGGAACUCGGAAGCAGUCCCUUCAAGUCUUAGCAAAUCCAAGUUGAGAUACACGGUUCCAAGUAUGAAUAGUUCCGCAGGACAACCAAAGUC